rnacentral:lncRNA from 1 species
CCUUUACAUUACACUCAUAAACCCUACAUCCUAAGGUUGUAAAUAAAUGAUAGAAUGGAUGGCUAGGAUGAGAGUAGACUGGUCUUGAUGCUAGCUGGAAAGUGUGGUCGUGCCUUGACUGAAUGGAAGGUGGGAUUGAUCCAUUUUGAAUGAAAGGCUAAGAUGGACUCAUGUGGAAAGGUGGCUGGAAAGGUAAAGUGCUUUUCUCUUUCCAGCCUGUCUCUUGGAUCACUCUGAUCCUAAGGGAUAUUCCCUUUGUUUCCUGUAGCUCCCAACGGUCCUCAUAGCCAAGAUAAACACGCCCAGACUUUGCACUUCUUCAACAUUGCUUAAACCGGAUGUGUGGGCGAGAUGAUUGGCAGUACGGUCGAUGGUACGGACCUCCUGUCCGUACCACUCGCCCUAUAUUUGCCCAACACUCUUUCUCACUUCUUUGGUCGAUCCACCAUCUUCUUUGGUUCGCCCUUGGCCGUACCAGGCCGUACAAGGCCGCCCUAUAAUUGCACCUUGGACCAUCUUCUCUCUAACUCCUCCAAAGCCUUCACAUGAUCAGUCUUAGUCUUCCCUAGACUUAAUUUCCCAAGAUAACUACUUCAGAACACUUCUGAAGCUUGAUUGAACUCGUCUUGACAUCUUCUAGAGCUUGCCCUAUUAUUGUACAAGCUCUAUCUUCUCUUCAGUUCAACACUCCCCCUCAAGCUUGACUUUAGGAGAUCCUAAGCCAAGCUUGGAACUCUGAAGAGUCUCCCUCAUUAAAAACCUUACAAGGAAAACCCAUUGGGACAAAACCUUGCAAGGGAAAAAGAGUAGAGCUCUCCAAAGCCUAGGGAUUGGCCAGUGAACUCUUGUGCCUUAGAACCAGCGUGGUUGGACACAAGAAGUUCUGGAUCACGGCCUAAACUGGUGCAGCAACUCAUCAAGACCUUGCGCACUAAACAACUCAGCUUCACCUCUUCAUGGAACCGGUUUGAAGUCUCCCCCUCUCAACUGACUUCACAGCCUCUUUAGAGAAGCUAAGAGAUGACCCGGAACAUCUUUAGUGAGGCUCAAGCAAUGGUACCUGAUACAUUAUCCCAAAGGUGCAUCAGUACCUAUCAACACCAACAAAAUGAAUAUCCUGCAUCCCAAUUGAUGUACACAAUCUCACAGUUCAAUCAUAAACAUUUUCAGUAUCUUUUCAAACACAAGCAAUGACUAAGAUGAAUGAAAAAGGAUUGAAAAGAGUUUUUAAAAGUCUAAAGGAACUUCCCUUGUGUUUUUGUGAGUUUCCUAACUCGGCCAAUGCACCAUCUUCAUGGCAUCAUCAACUUCUUGGAAAGGCAGAAUGGAUUCAUCAGCUUCUCCUCAAUCACCUCUCAUUGAAGCCGCAUUGAUGGAGAGCCUUCUUCCUCACUUACCAAGACUGCUCUGAACAGCCUCUUGCCUAGACACGCCACUGACUUGGUCCGGUUGAUGAUCCUUGUAGAAGUCUUUGCAAAGACUUGUUACUGACCAUGGAUCAUAUGCAUUAAGACUCCCCCUCAAGCUUAGAACCAAGACUAGAAGGAGCUAAGCUUGUGAUGAUCCUAUGCAUCUCCAUGGUCUAAUAACUUUCAUCUUUUAUGAUAGCUUUCUUCUUGUGAGUUUUCUCUCUUCCUUAACCAGGAAUUAGGGUGUUUGAAUCACCAUAGAGAGUCUCACAAGACAAAUCUCUCAUUGCAUAAUGACCCAUGCUACACUUCCUGUAGACUAAGGACUAGAUAUGUCCAAUGGUAUUAUGCAAUGGCCAUCUCUCAUUGCAUAAUCAAUCACACUACACUUCCUGUAGAUUAUGGACUAACAUGUCCAAGUGAUGAUAUGUAAUGGCACAAGACCUUUGUCUCUACAUUCUUGGUUGAUGGCGAGUUACAUGUAUCACUUCCCUUGUGUACCUAACACCACCACAACUCAAUGCAAGAUCAGAUCAUCCCAUUGGGAUCAAACCAAGAUCAUCCAUCCUGUUUGAUCACCAAUGCCACAAUAAUAUAUGAUACUUGAAACAAGCUAGACAAUCAAGACAAUCAAGCAAAGACAAUCAAUUCAGUUUUUUUUAAAAUGCAACAAUAGAUGAAUGCAUUAGGUUACACUAACUAUAUGAAUGAAACAGAUUCAAUCCAAAUGGAACACAAGUCUAGAUGAUAUUUAUGCAAUUAAGGCGACAAGAGUGACUCAGUUCAUGCUUAUGCUCACUAGUUUUAUCAAAGCCAAUGAUUCAAGUAGCUUAGACAUACUUCUAAAUGCUUAUAAGACAUCACUGAUGGAUUUAACUAUGGCAUAGCAACAAUCAGAACUGGACUGAGUCAAGACAAGCAGAUUUCAAUUUCUAACAAUGACAAUGCAAGUUCUAUACAGUUCUCUAAAUGCAAAGCUUAUAUCAGUACAAUUGCAAUUUAGGCUCAUUUUUAAAUGCAUUACUACAUGAAUGCACAAUCUUAAAGCAUUAGCUAUAUGAAUGCAACAGGUUCAAUCCAUGAGUAAUAUUAAAGCUCUGCACAACAGUUUCAAUCAGAACCAAUGAUGCAAGCAACUUAGACAAUUUCUAAUUGAUGCAAGACUUUCAUUGAUGGAUUAAACAUAGGCAAUAGCAUCAGAUAACACUAGGAUUGAACUUAGACAGUAUGAGAUAUGCUUAUGUAUGCAAAAUAACUUAUCAAUCAUGAUGCAAGCAGCAGAGACAUUCUACUCAAUUCUACAACACAUUCAUGAUGAUUCAAGCUAUGACAACACUCAAGACAAUGCAAUAAGCAGAACAUGAGAUUCUGGGACUCUAGACAUUACUUACUAUCAAUAAGACAAUGCAGCAGCAAAACAAUCUCAGUGAAAUUAGCCUAGACAUUAUACUUAGAAGCUAUAAACUCUUAAUGGAAUUAGGGAAAGCACAUAGUAUAAUCAGGAGAUAAACCUAUCAAGACAUAUUAAGAUAGAUGAGACUAGGUUUACUCCCUUGUUUAAGGUGAUGAGGAGUGUUCGUUGCCACUUGAAUCCUCACUUCUUCUUCUUCUCUUAUUGCAAUCACCCUUCUGAAUUUGCCACCAUGAUGGAAUGCUUGUGGAUGCUUCAGCUACUUCUUCAAUCACCUCACAAUAGAAGCCGCCUUGAUAGAGUAGCCUUCUUCUUCACACAGCCAAGAGUGCUCUGUCUUAGUUUGAGCACCCUCUUGAAUAGGCACGCCACUGCCUAGACCCGGUUAGCUUCUUCUUCAGGUACUUGCAAUGUUAAGGAGAAGAACACCAGUGAGUUUUACAACCAUCUGUGCUUCUCCCUUUUUGUAACACUUCUCCAUUGUACACACAAUGGGCACCAUUCUUUCUCUUUCAACUCGGAUUUGAUGAUGAACUAGGAACACCUUUUGUGAACCUGAAACAUCACUCAAACUCUAGCAAAGAUAAGUCACAAUUGCAUUGGGAUCAAUCCUUGACUUCAUCAAGUUUGAUCACCAAGGUCUCAAGCUUUAUAACAUUAGAUAGAAUCAAGACAAUGUCAAGUUCUUAUCUAUGCAAGCAACCAUUCUCUAAAUACUAAGCAAGACCUUAUCAGAUUCAAGUCAAAGUAUUUAGGCAAUUUUAUGCAACUUAGAUUUUAAUCUAAAUGCAACAAUACAAAGCAGUAUGCAUUAAUCUUAAUCAGUUUCUAACUCAUGAAAGCAAGCAUGAUUAGAUAAUAUAAUCUAUCAUCUUAACAAGACAAGUUAAUUUAGAACUGACAUUAAGCAUUUAACCAUUUUCAAUAGUAUUGAUGUCAAAUCUUGAUUAAUAAAUUAUCAAGUUUGAUUCCCAAUAUCACAAGCAAUGCAACAGAUAGACACAAGGCAUUAUCAAGUUCUAUUCUUUGCAAGCUAAAUCUCUAAGUACAAGUAAGAUCCUAACAGAUUCAAGACAAGUUACUUAGGCACUCUUAAGAGCUUCUUUACUCAGUACUUAGACAUGAAUCUAAUACUUCAAUGUAAGACAGCCACAAGACUAUAUGCAACAGCUUUAAAUUCGGUUUCACUCCAUGUAUGCAAGCAGAUUUAAUUAAUCACAACAAGCAUCACUAUGAACCGGAGCUAAGCAUACUAAACAAUUUCAAUACCCAAACAAGACUCUUAAAGUAUCCUGGGACAGAUUCUAAAGCAACUUCAUUUUAGCAAUCUUUUAAACAAUCCUCAGGUUUCCAAUCACAUCACAACAUCACAACCUGUUCAUACACUCAAGCUUUAUACAAGAGAAAGAGAUUUCCUUACAGCCAAGGAACUAGUGUUAGUUCCUUGAAGCUCCUUAGUACAUGGGAAGAUCCGAGCUGUUGGUGUCAACUCCUACAUCUCCUUCUUUCAUGGACCUUUCUCUUGAACCCACCAUGCCUAAGACACCUCCUCUCUUCAUUUUUGAGUCGCCAUACCAGGUACAAGUUGAAAGCUUUCACCUUUCUUCUUGGACAGUGAAUGGGAAUGGCUUGGACAUGCUUCCAAUGGCCUUCUUUCUUCAGGACGACCAUGAGAGAGUGGAGAACGACCAAGAACAGCUUCUGGACGCCAUUGAUGAGCACACCUUCUUCUUGAAGAGGUUGAACAGCCAAAUGACCAUGAAGCUUCUUCUUGGUUUGGAAAUGGCAUGGGAGUGAGCUUUGAGCUUAGCGGAAGCUGGAACCAAGUUCUAAUGAACCUGGCUCUGAUACCAUAUGAGAUUUAAGAGUACUCAGGUUGUAUGUGUGUAUGAAACCCAAAUGGGUAAAGAGAGAGAGCUUGGAAGCGAUUUGAGAGAAAGGAAGUUUGAUGAGUGUUUGUGUGUCUAAGUGUUUAAGAGAUUAGUAACAAGACUGAGAACGUGUAUAGAGAUUCAGGAUGGGAGACUAGAGAGACUAAGAGAAAGUGUUUCAGAUUAGAGAAGGAGAAGGGAAACCCCCUUACUCACUUAAGUGUUUACAAUCACAUAUACAAGGCUUUUAUAUGCCUUUACAUUACACUCAUAAACCCUACAUCCUAAGGUUGUAAAUAAAUGAUAGAAUGGAUGGCUAGGAUGAGAGUAGACUGGUCUUGAUGCUAGCUGGAAAGUGUGGUCGUGCCUUGACUGAAUGGAAGGUGGGAUUGAUCCAUUUUGAAUGAAAGGCUAAGAUGGACUCAUGUGGAAAGGUGGCUGGAAAGGUAAAGUGCUUUUCUCUUUCCAGCCUGUCUCUUGGAUCACUCUGAUCCUAAGGGAUAUUCCCUUUGUUUCCUGUAGCUCCCAACGGUCCUCAUAGCCAAGAUAAACACGCCCAGACUUUGCACUUCUUCAACAUUGCUUAAACCGGAUGUGUGGGCGAGAUGAUUGGCAGUACGGUCGAUGGUACGGACCUCCUGUCCGUACCACUCGCCCUAUAUUUGCCCAACACUCUUUCUCACUUCUUUGGUCGAUCCACCAUCUUCUUUGGUUCGCCCUUGGCCGUACCAGGCCGUACAAGGCCGCCCUAUAAUUGCACCUUGGACCAUCUUCUCUCUAACUCCUCCAAAGCCUUCACAUGAUCAGUCUUAGUCUUCCCUAGACUUAACUUCCCAAGAUAACUACUUCAGAACACUUCUGAAGCUUGAUUGAACUCGUCUUGACAUCUUCUAGAGCUUGCCCUAUUAUUGUACAAGCUCUAUCUUCUCUUCAGUUCAAC